rnacentral:rRNA from 1 species
UUGUGGAUCAGUGGCGAACGGGUGAGUAACACGUGAGCAACCUGCCCCUGACUCUGGGAUAAGCGCUGGAAACGGCGUCUAAUACUGGAUAUGUGACGUGACCGCAUGGUCUGCGUUUGGAAAGAUUUUUCGGUUGGGGAUGGGCUCGCGGCCUAUCAGCUUGUUGGUGAGGUAAUGGCUCACCAAGGCGUCGACGGGUAGCCGGCCUGAGAGGGUGACCGGCCACACUGGGACUGAGACACGGCCCAGACUCCUACGGGAGGCAGCAGUGGGGAAUAUUGCACAAUGGGCGAAAGCCUGAUGCAGCAACGCCGCGUGAGGGAUGACGGCCUUCGGGUUGUAAACCUCUUUUAGCAGGGAAGAAGCGAAAGUGACGGUACCUGCAGAAAAAGCGCCGGCUAACUACGUGCCAGCAGCCGCGGUAAUACGUAGGGCGCAAGCGUUAUCCGGAAUUAUUGGGCGUAAAGAGCUCGUAGGCGGUUUGUCGCGUCUGCUGUGAAAUCCCGAGGCUCAACCUCGGGCCUGCAGUGGGUACGGGCAGACUAGAGUGCGGUAGGGGAGAUUGGAAUUCCUGGUGUAGCGGUGGAAUGCGCAGAUAUCAGGAGGAACACCGAUGGCGAAGGCAGAUCUCUGGGCCGUAACUGACGCUGAGGAGCGAAAGGGUGGGGAGCAAACAGGCUUAGAUACCCUGGUAGUCCACCCCGUAAACGUUGGGAACUAGUUGUGGGGUCCAUUCCACGGAUUCCGUGACGCAGCUAACGCAUUAAGUUCCCCGCCUGGGGAGUACGGCCGCAAGGCUAAAACUCAAAGGAAUUGACGGGGACCCGCACAAGCGGCGGAGCAUGCGGAUUAAUUCGAUGCAACGCGAAGAACCUUACCAAGGCUUGACAUAUACGAGAACGGGCCAGAAAUGGUCAACUCUUUGGACACUCGUAAACAGGUGGUGCAUGGUUGUCGUCAGCUCGUGUCGUGAGAUGUUGGGUUAAGUCCCGCAACGAGCGCAACCCUCGUUCUAUGUUGCCAGCACGUAAUGGUGGGAACUCAUGGGAUACUGCCGGGGUCAACUCGGAGGAAGGUGGGGAUGACGUCAAAUCAUCAUGCCCCUUAUGUCUUGGGCUUCACGCAUGCUACAAUGGCCGGUACAAAGGGCUGCAAUACCGUGAGGUGGAGCGAAUCCCAAAAAGCCGGUCCCAGUUCGGAUUGAGGUCUGCAACUCGACCUCAUGAAGUCGGAGUCGCUAGUAAUCGCAGAUCAGCAACGCUGCGGUGAAUACGUUCCCGGGUCUUGUACACACCGCCCGUCAAGUCAUGAAAGUCGGUAACACCUGAAGC